rnacentral:rRNA from 1 species
AUUGAACGCUGGCGGCACACCUUACUCAUGCAAGUCGAACGGUAACAGGCUGUAGCAAUACGGCGCUGACGAGUGGCGAACGGGUGCGUAAUAUAUCGGAACAUACCUUGUAGCGGGGGAUAACAAAUUGAAAGAUUUGCUAAUACCGCAUAACAUCUGAGGAUUAAAGCUAGGGACCGCAAGGCCUGGCACUACAAGAUUGGCCGAUACCUGAUUAGGUAGUUGGUGGGGUAAAAGCCUACCAAGCCUGCGAUCAGUAGCUGGUCUGAGAGGACGAUCAGCCACACCGGAACUGAGACACGGUCCGG